UCCACCUUUGACAUUUUGCCAUGAUCUUUCCUAUUUGAAGGGAGUGCUGGAAGUGGGGAAUCCCUCAAAGUGAUCUGUCAUCAGAAUUCUCAUUUAAAUGUAUUUUACUGUGUUCAGAAUGCUGAUUCCCACUGGACUCAACUCACUUGGGAUACUGAGCUAAAUGGAUCUUUGAUCUGAAUUGUCACAGCCAUCCUUGGAUGAGGAGAAGUAGACUGACAAAUGAGUGACUGCUGCCUUGGUUUCCUGCUCAGCAAUUUGUAUUUGGAGAACUGUGAUCCUGGACUUCUGCUGACCUCAAUGUCAUGAACACAUCCCAGUGAUCUCUCAGCUUCUUGUGAAAGUUGUAUCUUCCUGUAGCUUUUUGGGUCCCUAUGAUUGCACCAGAAUGCAGACAGGACAUUGAUGACUUUCUCUGUGUCACUGAGGGUAUCUACCUCGGUUUUAUUGCACGUUUGCAGAAUAAAAUUUCUCCUGCACUUCCUCAGCUGUCUCUGUCACACCACAUCUGAAUGCAGGAUUUUGCAAAACAAACCCGAAGUAACAGCACGUGGAGGAUGCUCUGGAGGGUACCACACUGUUUUACAGUCCCAGUUAGACCUGGUGAUGAUAUGAAGCUGUUUAUUGCCACAGUCU